rnacentral:lncRNA from 1 species
UUUGUUAUUUCAAAUUUUACGAUAUAAAAUGCCAGUCGACCACCAUCUGCUUCAUGAUCAUACUUAUUAAAAUUAAAGUGGUUUCUAUUAUAUUAGUAUACCUAUAGAGGAAGACCUUUUUAAGCCAUGUCUUUGAAUGAUUUAAUCCAUGUACUUUAUAACUGGCCACUGAUGGCAAUGAAAUUAUAAUGACUAAUGUGUAGAAUUAUCAAGUCUAGAUCCAAAAAUUGGCAGUUUCAUAUAUACAGUAAGAUCAGGCAUAUAUAAGAUCAAAGCUAGUUUCAUAUAUAAGAUCAGAUUUAGAGGCCUGUAGCAUUUUCUCUAGAAAUUGCAUGAGUAAAAUCAAUUUCAUCCCUAUUUAUUUUUUUACUUGCCAGAUGAUUUUACUUGUCAAUGGGGAAGCUCUGUAGCUUAUCGGUUAACCAAAAAAAACUGACAAUGUCUCUAGUUAACCUAUUGAGCCGCAAUGCGCCCCAGUGUGCCCUACUUUUUUUUACUUUCUAAAGCCAGACAAUAUCACUCGCCAAUGGGGAAGCUCUGCAGCUUAGAUGAUAUUUGAUGUUGGUAAUUCAUGUAUUUUUGGAGGAAAAUAUUUUAGACAGUGGUUGUUUGCCUGACACCAAACCCCAAUAUUUACAUGUUAUUUGUCUAAGUGAACUAUUUUCCUCAUUCUUUCAACAUGGCAAAGUGAUACAAAAUAAAUUUCAGUUGAAUUCAAGCAAGUCCUCGGGCCUGUAAGUUGUCAACUGACGACUAUCACCUUCAUUGUUAGUUAAGUAUAUAUCUGCUUAAGUCCUGGGUUCAAAUGAGUGAAAUUUCAAGAGCAUUCUGACUGGCUUUGUGCAAACAGGGGGCCUUACCGGUUAGGACGAGGGCCAGUUGAGGUGUUAGGGUUGGGUGCAGGCAAGGUUCAUGUAAACUUAUUGGUAGCAAGAAUCAGAGAAGGA